CGUCAUCCGCAACCGCUUUCUGGAUUUUGAUAUGCCUUUUGACAACGAUGGCCUUUUAGUGGGAAAUGGUCUUUUUUUCAAUCAAGGUGGUACCGGUUUAGGAGCAUGGAGUGGUCGAAUUUCAUCAGAUACUCAUCCAGUCUUUACGAGUACCACCAAUGCCAUGAAUGUGUUCUUCGAAACCGAUCCAAGUGAUUCGGGACGAGGGUUUAAGAUGGAACUGACAGCUAUAACAAAACCAAUUAUUUUGGAAGAGCCCGACGUCUACACGUUGACCUCUCCAAACUACCCCAUGCCGUAUGAGAAAAAC